AGCGCAGGCGGGAAGACAAGUUGGGAGUGAAAUCUAUGGGCUCAACCCAUAAACUGCUUUCAAAACUGUUUUUCUUGAGUAGUGCAGAGGUAGGCGGAAUUCCCGGUGUAGCGGUGGAAUGCGUAGAUAUCGGGAGGAACACCAGUGGCGAGGGCGGCCUACUGGGCACCAACUGACGCUGAGGCUCGAAAGUGUGGUAGCAACA
rnacentral:rRNA from 1 species